UGGCGAUGAUGAUAAAUUUAAGGAUCUUGUUUCUUAAAACAUUCACAGUUGCUAAAUAGGAGCUUUUGCCUUGCUAGGCUUGAAAGUUAAUGGUGUUAAUUCCUUCCUUGGAUGUAUGAGCAU